UACGUAGGGUGCAAGCGUUGUCCGGAAUUAUUGGGCGUAAAGAGCUCGUAGGCGGUCUGUCGCGUCGGAUGUGAAAACUCGGGGCUCAACCCCCGGGCCUGCAUUCGAUACGGGCAGACUAGAGUACGGCAGGGGAGACUGGAAUUCCUGGUGUAGCGGUGGAAUGCGCAGAUAUCAGGAGGAACACCAAUGGCGAAGGCAGAUCUCUGGGCCGUAACUGACGCUGAGGAGCGAAAGCAUGGGGAGCGAACAGG
rnacentral:rRNA from 1 species